rnacentral:rRNA from 1 species
ACGCUCGACACCUACGGGAGGAGCAGUAGGGAAUCUUCCACAAUGGACGCAAGUCUGAUGGAGCAACGCCGCGUGAGUGAAGAAGGUUUUCGGAUCGUAAAGCUCUGUUGUUGGUGAAGAAGGAUAGAGGUAGUAACUGGCCUUUAUUUGACGGUAAUCAACCAGAAAGUCACGGCUAACUACGUGCCAGCACGCCGGACGGUAAUCUGAGGCGGGCGUGGACGAAGGC